AUAACUUUAUAUAUAGUUCAAAUUAUCUAGUUUCUUGUAAUGUAGUUAUAAGCUUCCAAAUAAAUGAUAAAUAAUUGUUGGUGAAAAAAAUUGAAUUACGCUAAAUCAAUGAUAAUCGGUUUGGAAGAGCUGGAUUGCAUCAUAAUUUGACUUCUUUAUUUCAGUACUGAUUUCCACACCUGUGUAAAAAAUUGUAGGAACGUGCAUAAAUGCCACGCUGCAUGCAGAUUUUAUAAUAGCUUCUUUCUCCGCAAGCGUUAAUGAGAAGAAUGGGCGUCGUCAAUUGGUUGCCUCUUCACUUUCUCUCUCAACCUUUCUCUUUCCAGGCGCAUAUUCUAUGCUUAUGUGGGUUAUAUAAAAGAGAAAUCGAUGGCUCAAAUUUUCUCUUCGCUAAUGUGUUGACCUGUCCGCCCGUUUUUUUCCUCUUUGUUCUACUCUGAUUGAGAUUCCUCAACGUAGAAAUUUGCGACGAUGGGCGGGGUUCAUUUUCAGUAAUCGACGUCCAUGGGAAAAUAAACAAAUGUGCUCUGUCUACUCGAUGUGUUUGAAUGUUGAAUGAGCUACUUAGUCCUAACACGACUAUCUUCGUCCAACUUGUUGGAUCUAUUAACCAAUUUGAACAUGUCAAUUGCACUUUUUUUAGUGAUUAUGAAUCAUUUACACAAACCUUCAUUACACCGUCACUCACAUCCCUUAUUACUCCAAUUACUGCAAUUAUCAUUUCUUCAUUUUUCUAAGAUUAAAUUGCAUCAUUACUUUUAUAAACACUUGGCUCCUUGUUAAACACUAAAAAAACUUUUUUAAUAUAUUUCUUCUACAAAUAAAUUCGCAUUUUAAUUUAAAAAUUAACUUUAAUUAAGAACAGAUUAAAUGUUUUACAUUAAAAGUAAUAGUCUAAAGGAAACUUUUACAGAAAAUAUUAAGGUUAUUUGACUGUUGCAUGUUCUGUACCAGAAGUUAUAUAUAUUAAACGAUGCUGUCCAGUUCUAUUCGUCUUUUUCCAGACAGUUUUUUUUCUGUCUUUUUUCCCCUCCCGACGUGCACGUUAGACGGCUGGCCAAAUAGCCCGUAUUUUUAGCUUGUAUUCUCCGGGGCUGGGAUCAAAGGGUUGAAUGCCGGGGGGGCUCGCUAUGAUAGACAUCCGUCGGCCGACUGUUCGAGUUGAACCUUGAGAAUCGCAGUUACCCUCUCGUCUCGGACGUGCAGUGAGAAGGGGGAAUAUUACCCGGAUUUCUGAUGUAUGAGCAGUGAUGGUAUACAAUCUCUCUAAAAGCUGGAUAGUGCAUGAAGUUUUACAUUCAAAUGAAAAAAUAAUAAAUAUAUUUUUUAUUAGAUAACAUAUAUAUAUAAAU
rnacentral:lncRNA from 1 species